rnacentral:rRNA from 1 species
UAACCUGCGGAGGGAUCAUUACACAAAUAUGAAGGCGGGCUGGAACCUCUCGGGGUUACAGCCUUGCUGAAUUAUUCACCCUUGUCUUUUGCGUACUUCUUGUUUCCUUGGUGGGUUCGCCCACCACUAGGACAAACAUAAACCUUUUGUAAUUGCAAUCAGCGUCAGUAACAAAUUAAUAAUUACAACUUUCAACAACGGAUCUCUUGGUUCUGGCAUCGAUGAAGAACGCAGCGAAAUGCGAUAAGUAGUGUGAAUUGCAGAAUUCAGUGAAUCAUCGAAUCUUUGAACGCACAUUGCGCCCUUUGGUAUUCCAAAGGGCAUGCCUGUUCGAGCGUCAUUUGUACCCUCAAGCUUUGCUUGGUGUUGGGCGUCUUGUCUCUAGCUUUGCUGGAGACUCGCCUUAAAGUAAUUGGCAGCCGGCCUACUGGUUUCGGAGCGCAGCACAAGUCGCACUCUCUAUCAGCAAAGGUCUAGCAUCCAUUAAGCCUUUUUUUCAACUUUGACCUCGGAUCCAGGUAGGGACCCCGUUCUC